rnacentral:rRNA from 1 species
UACAGAGGGUGCGAGCGUUAAUCGGAUUUACUGGGCGUAAAGGGCGCGUAGGCGGUGAAAUGGGUGUGAUGUGAAAGCCCCGGGCUUAACCUGGGAAGUGCAUCGCAAACUAUUUGACUGGAGUAUAUGAGAGGGUGGCGGAAUUUCCGGUGUAGCGGUGAAAUGCGUAGAGAUCGGAAGGAACAUCAGUGGCGAAAGCGACUUCCUGGACCAGUACAGACGUUCAGGCACGAAAGCGUGGGGAGCAAACAGG